rnacentral:rRNA from 1 species
UACGAAGGGUGCUAGCGUUGUUCGGAAUCACUGGGCGUAAAGCGCGCGUAGGCGGCUUAUCAAGUCAGGGGUGAAAUCCCACGGCUCAACCGUGGAACUGCCUUUGAAACUGUUAAGCUGGAGUGUCGGAGGGGAUAGCGGAAUUGCUAAUGUAGAGGUGAAAUUCGUAGAUAUUAGCAGGAACACCGGUGGCGAAGGCGGCUAUCUGGACGACAACUGACGCUGAGGCGCGAAAGCGUGGGGAUCAAACAGG